rnacentral:rRNA from 1 species
GGCUUUGCUUGGUGGUGAGAGUGGCGAACGGGUGAGUAAUGCGUGACCGACCUGCCCCAUACACCGGAAUAGCUCCUGGAAACGGGUGGUAAUGCCGGAUGCUCCAGUUGAUCGCAUGGUCUUCUGGGAAAGCUUUCGCGGUAUGGGAUGGGGUCGCGUCCUAUCAGCUUGACGGCGGGGUAACGGCCCACCGUGGCUUCGACGGGUAGCCGGCCUGAGAGGGCGACCGGCCACAUUGGGACUGAGAUACGGCCCAGACUCCUACGGGAGGCAGCAGUGGGGAAUAUUGCACAAUGGGCGCAAGCCUGAUGCAGCGACGCCGCGUGAGGGAUGGAGGCCUUCGGGUUGUAAACCUCUUUUAUCGGGGAGCAAGCGAGAGUGAGUUUACCCGUUGAAUAAGCACCGGCUAACUACGUGCCAGCAGCCGCGGUAAUACGUAGGGUGCAAGCGUUAUCCGGAAUUAUUGGGCGUAAAGGGCUCGUAGGCGGUUCGUCGCGUCCGGUGUGAAAGUCCAUCGCUUAACGGUGGAUCCGCGCCGGGUACGGGCGGGCUUGAGUGCGGUAGGGGAGACUUGGAAUUCCCGGUGUAACGGUGGAAUGUGUAGAUAUCGGGAAGAACACCAAUGGCGAAGGCAGGUCUCUGGGCCGUUACUGACGCUGAGGAGCGAAAGCGUGGGGAGCGAACAGGAUUAGAUACCCUGGUAGUCCACGCCGUAAACGGUGGAUGCUGGAUGUGGGGCCCGUUCCACGGGUUCCGUGUCGGAGCUAACGCGUUAAGCAUCCCGCCUGGGGAGUACGGCCGCAAGGCUAAAACUCAAAGAAAUUGACGGGGGCCCGCACAAGCGGCGGAGCAUGCGGAUUAAUUCGAUGCAACGCGAAGAACCUUACCUGGGCUUGACAUGUUCCCGACGGUCGUAGAGAUGCGGCUUCCCUUCGGGGCGGGUUCACAGGUGGUGCAUGGUCGUCGUCAGCUCGUGUCGUGAGAUGUUGGGUUAAGUCCCGCAACGAGCGCAACCCUCGCCCCGUGUUGCCAGCGGAUUAUGCCGGGAACUCACGGGGGACCGCCGGGGUUAACUCGGAGGAAGGUGGGGAUGACGUCAGAUCAUCAUGCCCCUUACGUCCAGGGCUUCACGCAUGCUACAAUGGCCGGUACAACGGGAUGCGACGCGGCGACGCGGAGCGGAUCCCUGAAAACCGGUCUCAGUUCGGAUCGCAGUCUGCAACUCGACUGCGUGAA